UCCCAAGCAAAUCCCAUGUGCGCUUUGGGCUGUUCGAUAUGCACGCCGCCGCCGCUGCUCGCCCGCCGUUCGUCCCCACGACGGAAGCUUCUAGAACCCCACCAGCCGCCGCGGACGCGCCUCUGCCUGCUCCCGGCGUUCCCCGUUCCCAUCGCGCGUUACGGGCGCCAGCCUCCUACACCGCGACGCACUGCACUGCACUGGCCGUGAGAGACCGGUGGGCCUGGAACUUUGGAUCGCAUUGUGCUGCUGAGUGGUGGCCUAGUCCUGGAGUCGCAGCGGCGAACGGAUUGUAACCAGCUUCUGUGCAUGUAUCAGUGAUCUCCUGGAGUUCUCCAGCAACUGAGCAUCAAACCGAGAGGCAGCAUGGAUGGUAUCUCUCUGCAGAGUUGAAGACAGGAAGAUUAGGUGGAAUAAAACAGUAUAUGACACUCUUGAAAUAAAGCUCUUGCUUCUAUGCAUGUGAACACGUGUGGCCGUACACAUUCAGGCAGGAAUAUCAACAAUCACAGAAUGACAAAACAAAUCAUGAAAGGUAUUUGGAAGAGUACGUACAAAGUUCCUGGUACGGCAACUUCCCUGGACAACCAGGUUUGUCAUGUUACCAAUGAGAAAUGCCAGUUCGUGGGGAAUGGAGAUGAUUCUGGGAUCUACCCGCCCCAUUUUUGCGCAGAGUCGUGGCUUCCAUGUUAACCAGCAGGACCCCUAUGUGUGUGACAAAUUUAUGAACUAGUGACCGGCUGGGUUAGGUUUCAGCUUGUAGAUUUUGCGUGUGAUUAAGGUUUUGCCGUUUUGGAAAUGGAAACCGAUGUAACUAGUUACUGGCAAGACUGCAGUGGAUUAUCUCUUGAAAAGACGUAACGAUCAGGUUUUGACUGAGUUGAUCCUGAUCUAUUUACUGGAU